rnacentral:rRNA from 1 species
UGGUGAGGUAAUGGCUCACCAAGGCGAUGAUCAGUAGCCGACCUGAGAGGGUGACCGGCCACACUGGAACUGAGACACGGUCCAGACUCCUACGGGAGGCAGCAGUGGGGAAUAUUGCACAAUGGGGGAAACCCUGAUGCAGCAACGCCGCGUGAGCGAUGAAGGCCUUCGGGUCGUAAAGCUCUGUCCUAUGGGAAGAAGAAGUGACGGUACCAUAGGAGGAAGCCCCGGCUAACUACGUGCCAGCAGCCGCGGUAAUACGUAGGGGGCAAGCGUUAUCCGGAAUCACUGGGCGUAAAGGGUGCGUAGGCGGCUAAGUAAGUCAGGGGUGAAAGGCAUUGGCUCAACCAAUGUAAGCCUUUGAAACUGCUUAGCUUGAGUGCAGGAGAGGUAAGUGGAAUUCCUAGUGUAGCGGUGAAAUGCGUAGAUAUUAGGAGGAACACCAGUGGCGAAGGCGACUUACUGGACUGUAACUGACGCUGAGGCACGAAAGCGUGGGGAGCAAACAGGAUUAGAU